GCCUUAGCUUAGUUGGUAGUGCGUCUGCCUUGUAAGCGCUAGGCCGCGGGUUCGAUUCCCGCCCGGGGCG
rnacentral:tRNA from 1 species